rnacentral:rRNA from 1 species
GAUAAACGCUGGCGGCGUGCCUAACACAUGCAAGUCGAACGAUCCCGCAAGGGAGAGUGGCGGAAGGGUGAGUAACACGUGGGAAUCUACCUCCUCGCAGGGAACAACCUCUCGAAAGAGAGGCUAAUACCCAAAAGGGUCAGAAAUGAUCAGAGUCGAAAGGCGUGAGGAGAGGAGCCCGCGGCCCAUCAGCUAGUUGGUGAGGUAAUGGCUUACCAAGGCUACGACGGGUAGGGGAUCUGAGAGGAUGUCCCCCCCACUGGAACUGAAACACGGUCCAGACGCCUACGGGUGGCAGCAGUGAGGAAUAUUGGACAAUGGGCGAAAGCCCGAUCCAGCAACGCCGCGUGGAGGAUGAAGGCCUUGGUCGUAAACUUCUUUAGAGGGAGACGAGAAAGGACGGUAUCCCUAGAAUAAGCGACGGCAAACUACGUGCCAGCA